UGCAGUCGAACGGUGAUGACCAGCUUGCUGGUCUGAUCAGUGGCGAACGGGUGAGUAACACGUGAGCAACCUGCCCUUCACUCUGGGAUAACCACGGGAAACGGUGGCUAAUACCGGAUAUGAGACGUACACGCAUGUGUCGCGUCUGGAAAGAUUUAUCGGUGGGGGAUGGGCUCGCGGCCUAUCAGCUUGUUGGUGGGGUAGUGGCCCACCAAGGCGACGACGGGUAGCCGGCCUGAGAGGGCGACCGGCCACACUGGGACUGAGACACGGCCCAGACUCCUACGGGAGGCAGCAGUGGGGAAUAUUGCACAAUGGGCGCAAGCCUGAUGCAGCGACGCCGCGUGAGGGAUGACGGCCUUCGGGUUGUAAACCUCUUUCAGCAGGGAAGAAGCGCAAGUGACGGUACCUGCAGAAGAAGCGCCGGCUAACUACGUGCCAGCAGCCGCGGUAAUACGUAGGGCGCAAGCGUUGUCCGGAAUUAUUGGGCGUAAAGAGCUCGUAGGCGGUUUGUCGCGUCUGCUGUGAAAACCUAAGGCUCAACCUUGGGCUUGCAGUGGGUACGGGCAGACUAGAGUGCGGUAGGGGUGACUGGAAUUCCUGGUGUAGCGGUGGAAUGCGCAGAUAUCAGGAGGAACACCGAUGGCGAAGGCAGGUCACUGGGCCGCAACUGACGCUGAGGAGCGAAAGCAUGGGGAGCGAACAGGAUUAGAUACCCUGGUAGUCCAUGCCGUAAACGUUGGGCACUAGGUGUGGGGCUCAUUCCACGAGUUCCGUGCCGCAGCAAACGCAUUAAGUGCCCCGCCUGGGGAGUACGGCCGCAAGGCUAAAACUCAAAGAAAUUGACGGGGGCCCGCACAAGCGGCGGAGCAUGCGGAUUAAUUCGAUGCAACGCGAAGAACCUUACCAAGGCUUGACAUACACCGGAAAAGUGCAGAGAUGUGCUCCCCGCAAGGUCGGUGUACAGGUGGUGCAUGGUUGUCGUCAGCUCG
rnacentral:rRNA from 1 species